CAGUAGCCGCGGGAAUACGAAGGGGGCUAGCGUUGCUCGGAAUGACUAGGCGUAAAGGGCGCGUAGGCGGUUUUGACAGUCAGAUGUGAAAUUCCUGGGCUUAACCUGGGGGCUGCAUUUGAGACGUCAAGACUAGAGUGUGAGAGAGGGUUGUGGAAUUCCCAGUGUAGAGGUGAAAUUCGUAGAUAUUGGGAAGAACACCGGUGGCGAAGGCGGCAACCUGGCUCAUUACUGACGCUGAGGCGCGAAAGCGUGGGGAGCAAACAGGAUUAGAUACCCCCGUAGUCCCUGUCUCUUAUAC
rnacentral:rRNA from 1 species